AUUCUUCUAGAGGCUUCAGUCUGCUCCAUAGGAUCGGUGGUAGAGACUGCAGGGGCAUUUUUGUAAAAGUUUAUUUGGAAACAUUUCACUUACAGAAAAGUUAUAAAAUUAAAAACAGUACAAAGAACACCCCUAUAUAUAAUAUCUGUACUCAGAUUUACCUGUUACAUUUUCUCCCCGUUGCUAUAUCACUUAUGAGUGUGCCUGCCCUCCCAUAUGUGUAUACAUUUUUCCUCUUUCUGAACUACUUAAGGGUGUUACAUAUAUCAUGGCCUUUACCCCCAAAUAUUUCAGUGUGCAUUUGCUGAGAAUAGGGAUACUUUUACAUAACCAUCAUAAAAUGAUCCACUUUUGUAAAUUUAACAUUGAUUAAAAACUUUUAUCUGAUAUCUACCAUCUGUAGAACAUUGCUCAUUUUGAGUUUGUCUGAUGUCUCCCCAUGAUGAGAUGCAGGUGAGGCACUCUGGCCAGAACCUUCACAGGGCACCACAUCUGGGGGCACAUGCUGUUUAUCUGCUCCUCCUCGUGUUAAUUUCAUCCGCUGGUCAAGAUGUUGCUCCAUUUCUCUACCGUAUAAUUACUGAUUUUCCCCCCUUGCACCUAAUAAGUAGUCUGCAGGAAGACAUUUUAAGGCCAUGCAAGUAUCUUGCUUUCAUCAAAAUUUCCCUCUGGUGCAGUCUUUACGAUGAGCUUGCAAAAUGAUAACUUUCCAACUCCAGCACACCCUCCACAAUUACCAGUCACCACUCAGUCCUCACUCCUGCCGAUUCUUUUAUAUAUACAUUAUUGGUACAGACUCAUGAAGUUCUAUUUUUUACUGAUUUAUAAUUCAUUGCUGGGCUGCUUUUGAUGCCCCAAUUG
rnacentral:lncRNA from 1 species